UCUUUGGAUCUUUAUUCUGCUAAUUAGUUUCCUGCAAAAAAUGGCUGUGAUUAAUUCAGUGCGCAUGUGCUUCAUUACCCAGGCACGACGGGAAGGGCUAAUUAGCCACCUUCUGGAUCAAUAAGAUUCAGCAAAAAAGAAAAGGGGGAGGUGGAGGGAGGCAGAGGGGAGGAAGGGAGGAAAAAAAAAAAAAACGGGGGAAAGUGAUGAGCAGGGCAAGGAGAGCAGGAAGAGAGGAUGGGAGAAGAGCCCAGGAAGAGGGAGAGAGGCACCAAAAGUUUAUGCAUGUAUUAAAAACACACACACACACACACACACACACACGACACACACACGCACACACACACAUACACACCGAGAAAUGAAAUGCGGAGAAGCAACAAUAGAAACCUGGCUAAGAUUUUUUAAAAGAUUUCUUUCUUUCCUUUUUUCCCCCUUUCUCUCUUCUUUCUUAUUUUUUUUCCUUUUCUCUUUCUUUCUUUUUUUUGGCAAAUGAAGCAAUGUUUAAAUUAAAUAGGAAGAGAGCAUCUUCAAAGAAGAGGGGAGCAAGGGGGGCAAUAAUGGAGUGGGACAGCUCAAAGCAAAGAUUUAAGUGAAAGGCAGAGAAGCAGCAGAGACAAAAUAGAGCCCACUUUAAAUUGCAAAUCUGAGAUUUUUUUUAAAGGAGGAAAAUUACCUACCCCCCCGAAAUCAGAGGACAAAUAAAGAAAAUAUGGAGAAAACUUUAGCACGUACCAUAGACUAGACAAAAAAUAUAUAUAUGAUAUGUUAAUUUUGCCUUCUGAAAUAAGAUACAAUCAAUCUACUCUGGUUCUUUAGAAGGAGAGGGGAAGCAGGAGUGAUGAUUAGAAGGAAUAAAAGGGGGAAAGUGAAACAGAACUGAAAGGGGGAUAACUUAAGGAAAGACAAGAAAAGGAAAAGUUGCACUUGGAAACAAGUCCAACUUUCUACCUUUCUGGACCUAAGAGAAAAGUAAAAUCAAUUUUCUCAUGUAAAACCUGGAAAGCAGAUGUUUUCAAAACACAGGAAGCUAUUUUGCCAUCAAAAGCAGGGAUGUAAUAAAGGCAGUGAAAAAUAAUUUCAGACUAAAUUCGUAAGAAAGAAAGCCAAUAUAUUUAAAUAGCGAGGAAAGGUCUAGAGUGGAGAAAGGGGGAAAAUUACAUACCCCUUCCCCAAUGCCAAAAAAAAAAAAAAAAAAAAAAAAAAAAAAAGGUCUUACAGCUUCCUCCAAGAGUUUGGAACAGAGUCUCGAAGCCAAAGGGCUUGAAAUGAGAGGAUGGAUUUCAGAUAAAGACUAGGAGCAGUACAUCCCACCAGAGCCCAAAGGAGAUCCCUGGAAUCAAAGACAGCAGCCAGGGACCCUGCUACUGUACCGAUUCCCAGUACAUCAAAGCCAUCACUUAGGCGGGCGUACGGUACCUCCAAAAAGCAAGCAAACAAACGCAGGAAGAACAAGAGUCUCAGUCUGUCUCUCUCUCUCUCUCUCUCUUUCUCUACCCCCUCUUUCAAAUCCUAGCCUUAGCGUCACUGCUAAUGCAAUAGAUUUUUUUUAAUGACAAGUAUGUAUUUAUGUAAGUUCUAAAUAUGAACUAGUACCACUGAAAUUACAAUGUCUGGAAUAAAAAUGCAAUUUGCACUUUAAGUGAUCUGCAAACAAAUGCAAAAACAUUUAUGUUUCUGAAGGCAUUUUUAGUGAACCCUGGAAUAUCAGGUAGAGAGCUCUCACCAAAACUUAUUUUUCUUAGAAAAAAGAUUUUUCGCCAGCCUAGCUGGAUUGUUUAUUUUAGAAGAAAUUUGGGGAUUAAUCGGGAAAUCUAUUUGAUUAGAAAGGAAUUCUUCAUUUUGAGAGAUUUUCCAAUGCUCUUAAGAGCAUGCAGCUUCUUAGUCAAGACUAGGGGGAGAAAACCGGUUUAGGAUUUUGCAGGGUUACCUCAUCUAAUCCUUGUGAAUUCACUCUGGGAAUAAUGCUGUUUUAUUUAGAAAGAAAAAAAGAAAAUACAUUUAGAAAAAUCGGGGGUUUCCUCUCUAUGAGCCAAAUCUGGAUUGCCAUUCAAACUUUUCCUGGCUGCUUUUCCAUGCGGGACAGUUGAUCAAUAAAGCCAAGUCCAGGCUGGCUUGCUACAGGUUUCACCAGUCAGUGCUUGCAAAACCUUUGUCAUUUUCUAAAAAUAAAAAAGCUAAAAGUUAUUGUAGAAGAAGGGGCUUUUUUUUGUCCCCUGCACAAUGUGUCUUUUGUGAGGUUAAUGCCAUUCUGGGCUCUCGAUAGCCCUGGACAAUGGGAACUCUCCAGGAGCCUGCAAAGACUCUGGCUUUUUUCUUUCUUGAUUUUUUUUUUUUUUAAGGGAAGGAUGAAACAUUCCUACAGUCCAAACACAACUUCUACUUUGAUUAAAUAAAUAUUUAUCUUUAUUGUAACCAUUGUAUAUUUUUACCUUCAGUUUGUCCGUUUCUGAUUAUUAUUUUAAAUUUUUCAUUGGCAACAGUUAAUCUUUUUUUUUUUUUCCCUUUCAGUCCCAAGUGCAGGUCAGUGUAAAAUGUAGCUGACUGAAAGAAGACUGGUAAAUUCUGAAUUUUUCCAUAAUACGUCAGGCCAGAGAAGAUUCCAUAAAUACUCCAGAACAUUGGGAACUAUACUUCGCUGGGAAAGCCAGAUAGCCUCAGGGCUACUUACUUGUUCUGCAUGAGGUACAGGGCAGCCUGGUCGGGAAUAGGCCCAGAGCCUCACCAGCCCCCCAGAAAACAGAGCAUUGUUUCCAUCCAAACCUUGCACUGAAAGGAAGCCUGUCAGCUGGCAAUGACCUCGUGAGACAACUUUGGGGAGAGCAAAGGGCUGAGAAGAGAAAGGCCUCAUUCUCACUGCAAACAGGAAAAGGGAAGAGAAAAAGAAAGCUCUGUCUCCACACAAGGUUUGCUGGGCUGGCUAUGAACUGUUCCAGUACGUUCCAUCAAAUAGACGCCUUCAUAGAAUCAAGCCAAGCGCGAACACCGGCUCUGGGACUCCCACUCCCGGGACACACACGGGCCAGCUCACACAUGCUCUUGCUCUCUCGCACCCUGGGAGAGCACUUAUAUGGGCUUCAUGAGGCUAAGUAAUAAACACUUUGUCUUCACCCUGCUAUUUAUG